CUUCAGGAGUGAAGCUGCAGACCUUCGCGUGAUGGAGGUUGAGAAGUCCAACUUCAAGGCACCACAUCUGGUGAGAGCCUUCAUUCCGAUGACAGCCUUCAUGCUGGUAAGAUUUUCUUCAGAGUUCCAAGGUGGUGCACGGCAUCACAUGGCGAAGGAAAUGAGCGUGCUAGCUCAGGUGUCUCUUCCUCUUCUUAUAAAGCCACCAGUCCCACUCCUGUGCUAGUAACUCUUUAAUCCAUCAACCCAUUAAUCCAUGAAUAGAUUAACCCAUGAGGCCUCUGCCCUCAGGACCCAAUCACCUCUUAAAGGCCUGACCUGUCAAUAUUGCCAUACUGGGGACUCAGUUUCAACAUGAGUUUUGAAAGGGACAAACAUUCAAUCCAUAGUAACAUGAGAGCUUUUCAAAGCCCUUCUUUGUUGAAGUAUGUCCUUCUCCAGCCUCUUUUUUCCCAGGCUUUUUGUUUUUUCUAUUGCUUGUGCAGCUGUUAUCCUUUGCUACAGGUGGCAAUAGCUAAUACAUUUGCCUUUAAAUUUGUUUGACAAACACCACCCUGGAAGUAGCCUCAACUCUGGGGAAGCUCCAAGACAGGUAAAAUACAGCAACCUGCAGCAGGAAAAUGGGCUUCAGUUUUCAAGUCUGCAGCUGAGUUGGGAAGUUGCGGACAGUAACCAGUUCUAGAAAAAGCGCUUAGUGUGAAAUUUGUGGGAAAGAUGCUGUUCAGAGUUUAAUUUCAUUAUGUAGUUAACCAAUGAAAAUCCAGCGGAAAAAAAAGAGGAAAGGCCACAUGGGGACAAGAGAGGGCAACUGUCUACAAAUCUGGAAGAGAGACUUCAGAAGAAACCAGCACUGAUGGCAUCUGAUCUUGGACUUCCAGCCUCUGGAUCUAUCUGCCAGAGCCUGAUCUCAUACACACUGAUGUGGUACAGGAAAUGCCACCUGAAAAUAUGGUACCUUGGCAUUUGAGGAAACAGUAGAAGGAGGUCAUAGAAACUAGAAAGAAUUCCUCCUUGCUCUUUGUCCCCCAAAGGAGCCAUAAAACCUGGGCCGAGUUUCUUCUGAAAAUAAGUUAUAAGAUCCUUAUUCCAGAGGGGUCCUGCCCUGUGCCUGGAGGAAAAGAAUGAAGACACAGAGAUGCCUUGAAGAAUCUGAACAAACAGCCCUUGCUAAGUUCCCCCCAGUUUAUUGACAUUAGAUUAGACCUUUUGUCCUCCAAUUAUACUUCUGUGUUCCUGAAAAUACACAUUUUCCCGUUUUUUCUUUUGUUUGCUUUUUUUGAUCUUCAUUUCUGAAGA
rnacentral:lncRNA from 1 species